CUGAGUUUGAUCUUAACUCUUUUGAAAGGGAAGUCCAUAAUUAUUUUAGCUUUCUUCUCUAAGGCAGUAAACUGCACAUGUGCCUUACAGGGUGCCCAGCACCUAGACCCAGGCUUGCCAGUGCUCCUGCAUAAAACUCCAACCUCUGAUUUGCUUCACUGGCCAGCACCCGCCAUCUCCUGCAGGACACCCGAUAACACUGUGACAGGGGACCGUCAUGCCUUUUGACCCUGCGUAAUAAUUCCAGCUGAUGCUAAGUGAGUAUGACCGAUGGUGAUUCAAGAGGCUGUGGCUGUCACUUUGGCAGACUGGGGUGCAAGGUGCCGAGGGUGUCUUGCCUCCUCUCUCUCUCUCAUAUGUAAAAUACUCUUGCAAGAAGGACCCUUAGAGAUCAAAUCAGACACUUUGGUUUUAUAAAUGGGGAAAUGGAAUACAGACCAUAAACCAUUCAUCUAGAAACUCACAAUCAUUCAUCCAGCAAACACCUACUGUGUACAAGAUCUUUGCAACGCAUAGCAACAAAAUUCUAUCAUUUAGAUAUUUGGUCUAUGGCCCAAAUUUCAGAAUACUCCUCCCUUGGAUGUUUUUAAGUUUAUGCAUGUUUCCCAUCUAGAGAUGACCAACUAGCAAUAUAUCCCAAGCACAGGAACUGGC